CAUUCGGAUUGUAGGCUGAAACUCGCCUACAUGAAGCUGGAGUUGCUAGUAAUCGCGAAUCAGCAUGUCGCGGUGAAUACGUUCCCGGGCCUUGUACACACCGCCCGUCACACCAUGAGAGUUGGCAAUACCCAACGUACGUGAUCUAACCCGCAAGGGAGGAAGCGUCCUAAGGUAGGGUCAGCGAUUGGGGUGAAGUCGUAACAAGGUAGC
rnacentral:rRNA from 1 species